rnacentral:rRNA from 1 species
UUAAAUUGAAGAGUUUGAUCAUGGCUCAGAUUGAACGCUGGCGGCAGGCCUAACACAUGCAAGUCGAACGGUAACAGGAAGCAGCUUGCUGUUUCGCUGACGAGUGGCGGACGGGUGAGUAAUGUCUGGGAAACUGCCUGAUGGAGGGGGAUAACUACUGGAAACGGUAGCUAAUACCGCAUAACGUCGCAAGACCAAAGAGGGGGACCUUCGGGCCUCUUGCCAUCGG